UACGUAGGGUGCAAGCGUUGUCCGGAAUUAUUGGGCGUAAAGAGCUCGUAGGCGGUUUGUCGCGUCUGCCGUGAAAUCCCGAGGCUCAACCUCGGGCCUGCAGUGGGUACGGGCAGACUAGAGUUCGGCAGGGGAGACUGGAAUUCCUGGUGUAGCGGUGGAAUGCGCAGAUAUCAGGAGGAACACCGGUGGCGAAGGCGGGUCUCUGGGCAGUAACUGACGCUGAGGAGCGAAAGCGUGGGGAGCGAACAGG
rnacentral:rRNA from 1 species